rnacentral:rRNA from 1 species
CCAUAACACCUUGCUCAGCCACACCCCCAAGGGAUUUCAGCAGUGAUAAACAUUAAGCUAUAAGUGAAAACUUGACUUAAUUAAAGCCAAGAGAGCCGGUAAAACUCGUGCCAGCCACCGCGGUGAGACGAGAGGCUCAAGUUGACAAACACGGCACAAAGCGUGGUUAAGAAAACCCCCAGACUAAAGUCAAACGCUUCCUCGGCUGUUAUACGCAUCCGAAAGUAUGAGGCCCAACUACGAAAGUAACUUUAACCUCCUCUGAACCCACGAAAGCUAAGAAACAAACUGGGAUUAGAUACCCCACUAUG